GAUGAACGCUGGCGGCGUGCCUAAUACAUGCAAGUCGAACGAAACUUCUUUAUCACCGAGUGCUUGCACUCACCGAUAAAGAGUUGAGUGGCGAACGGGUGAGUAACACGUGGGCAACCUGCCCAAAAGAGGGGGAUAACACUUGGAAACAGGUGCUAAUACCGCAUAACCAUAGUUACCGCAUGGUAACUAUGUAAAAGGUGGCUAUACUACCGCUUUUGGAUGGGCCCGCGGCGCAUUAGCUAGUUGGUAGGGUAAAGGCUUACCAAGGCAAUGAUGCGUAGCCGAAUUGAGAGGUUGAUCGGCCACAUUGGGACUGAGACAGGGCCCAAACUCCUACGGGAGGCAGCAGUAGGGAAUCUUCCACAAUGGGCGAAAGCCUGAUGGAGCAACGCCGCGUGGGUGAAGAAGGUCUUCGGAUCGUAAAACCCUGUUGUUAGAGAAGAAAGUGCGUGAGAGUAACUGUUCACGUUUCGACGGUAUCUAACCAGAAAGCCACGGCUAACUACGUG
rnacentral:rRNA from 1 species